AAUGGCUGCAGUAAUAUAACUGUACAAAGGUAGCAUAAUCAUUAGUUUUUUAAUUAAAAGCUUGUAUGAAAGGUUGGACGAAGUAAAAUCUGUCUCUUUUUAAUAUAAUUAGAAUUUAAUUUUUAAGUAAAAAAGCUUAAAUUUAUAUAAAAGACGAGAAGACCCUAUAGAGUUUAAUAAUUAAUUUUAAAUAAUUAAUUUAGAUUUAUUUAUUUUAUUUAUUUUAUAAUUAUUUUAUUGGGGUAAUAGAAAGAUUUAUAUAAUUCUUUUUUUUAUUUUACAUUAAUAUAUGAAUUAAAUGAUCCAUUUUUAUGAUUAUAAGAUUAAAUUACCUUAGGGAUAACAGCGUAAUUUUUUUAAAGAGUUCAUAUCGAUAAAAAAGUUUGCGACCUCGAUGUUGGAUUAAAGAUUAAUUUAGGUGUAGAAGUUUAAAUUUUUGGUCUGUUCGACCAUUAAAUCUUUACAUGAUCUGAGUUCAAACCGGUGUAAGCCAGGUUGGUUUCUAUCUUUAUAAAAUUUUUAUAUUUUAGUACGAAAGGACCAAAUAUUUAAUAUAUAAAUAUUUAAUUAUUUUGAAUAU
rnacentral:rRNA from 1 species